rnacentral:rRNA from 1 species
CAGCAGCCGCGGUAAUACAGAGGGUGCAAGCGUUAAUCGGAAUUACUGGGCGUAAAGCGCGCGUAGGUGGUUUGUUAAGUUGGAUGUGAAAGCCCCGGGCUCAACCUGGGAACUGCAUCCAAAACUGGCAAGCUAGAGUACGGUAGAGGGUGGUGGAAUUUCCUGUGUAGCGGUGAAAUGCGUAGAUAUAGGAAGGAACACCAUUGGCGAAGGCGACCACCUGGACUGAUACUGACACUGAGGUGCGAAAGCGUGGGGAGCAAACAGGAUUAGAUACCCCAGUAGUCCCUGUCUCUUAUAC